rnacentral:rRNA from 1 species
UGGGGCAUCAUGAUGUAGUAAUACAUUGAUGGCGACCGGCGCACGGGUGAGUAACGCGUAUCCAACCUACCCUCCACUCAAGUAUAGGCUUCCGAAAGGGAGAUUAAUCCUUGAUAUCGUCAUUCUCUCUCCUGUUAGAAUGAUAAAAGGACAUCGUUUCGGUAGAGGAUGGGGAUGCGUUCCAUUAGGUAGUAGGCGGUUUAACAGGCCACCUAGCCGAUGAUGGAUAGGGGUUCUGAGAGGAAUAUCCCCCACACUGGUACUGAGAUACGGACCAGACUCCUACGGGAGGCAGCAGUGAGGAAUAUUGGUCAAUGGGCGCAAGCCUGAACCAGCCAUGUAGCGUGAAGGAUGACGGUUUUUUUAAU